UACGUAGGUGGCAAGCGUUGUCCGGAUUUACUGGGCGUAAAGAGCGCGCAGGCGGUCGAUUUAGUCGCGUGUGAAAGCCCCCGGCUCAACUGGGGAGGGUCACGCGAUACUGAUCGACUCGAAGGCAGGAGAGGGUAGUGGAACUCCCGGUGUAGUGGUGAAAUGCGUAGAUAUCGGGAGGAACACCAGUGGCGAAGGCGACUACCUGGCCUGUUCUUGACGCUGAGGCGCGAAAGCUAGGGGAGCAAACGGG
rnacentral:rRNA from 1 species